rnacentral:rRNA from 1 species
UCCGCCCGCUGGCGGCGUGCUUAACACAUGCAAGUCGAGCGGUAAGGCUCCUUCGGGAGUACACGAGCGGCGAACGGGUGAGUAACACGUGAGUAAUCUGCCCUUCACUUCGGGAUAACCACCGGAAACGGUGGCUAAUACCGAAUACGACCAGUCUUCGCAUGAGGUGCUGGUGGAAAGUCUUUACGGUGAAGGAUGUGCUCGCGGCCUAUCAGCUUGUUGGUGGGGUAAUGGCCUACCAAGGCUUCGACGGGUAGCCGGGCUGAGAGGGUGACCGGCCACACUGGGACUGAGACACGGCCCAGACUCCUACGGGAGGCAGCAGUGGGGAAUAUUGGACAAUGGGCGAAAGCCUGAUCCAGCAACGCCGCGUGAGGGAUGACGGCCUUCGUGUUGUAAACCUCUUUCAGUACCGACGAAGCGCCCUGUCGGGUGGUGACGGUAGGUACAGAAGGAGGACCGGCCAACUACGUG